GGCCAGCGGCUUCGCGGCUGGUCGAACGUCCGCGCAGCUUCUCUCGCUUCCCGUCCGCUGUGGCCGGGAGAGGGGAGGCCUUCCGGAGCCAUGGAGGACGAGGUGGUUCGCAUUGCCAAGAAGAUGGACAAAAUGGUGCAGAAGAAGGAUGCGGCUGGUGCAUUGGAUUUGCUGAAAGAGCUUAAGAAUAUUCCCAUGACCCUGGAAUUGCUACAGUCCACGAGAAUUGGAAUGUCUGUCAAUGCUAUUCGCAAACAUAGUACAGAUGAAGAAGUCACAUCUCUAGCCAAAUCUCUCAUCAAAUCCUGGAAAAAAUUAUUAGAUGGACCAUCAACUGAUAAAGACCCUGAAGAAAAGAAAAAAGAACCUGCAAUUUCAUCACAGAAUAGCCCUGAAGCAAGAGAAGAAAGUAGUUCCAGCAGCAAUGUAAGCAGCAGGAAGGAUGAGACAAAUGCUCGAGAUACUUACGUUUCAUCUUUUCCUCGGGCACCAAGCACUUCUGAUUCUGUGCGAUUAAAAUGUAGGGAGAUGCUUGCUGCAGCUCUUCGGACAGGAGAUGAUUAUGUUGCUAUUGGAGCUGAUGAAGAAGAACUGGGAUCUCAGAUUGAGGAAGCUAUAUAUCAAGAAAUAAGGAAUACAGAUAUGAAAUACAAAAACAGAGUACGAAGUAGGAUAUCAAAUCUUAAAGAUGAAAAGAAUCCAGAUUUAAGGAAAAAUGUGCUGUGUGGGAAUAUUCCUCCUGACCUAUUUGCUAGAAUGACAGCAGAGGAAAUGGCUAGUGAUGAGCUCAAAGAGAUGAGGAAAAACCUGACCAAAGAAGCCAUCAGGGAGCAUCAGAUGGCCAAGACUGGUGGGACUCAGACUGACUUGUUCACUUGUGGCAAAUGUAAAAAGAAGAACUGCACUUACACACAGGUGCAAACUCGUAGUGCUGAUGAACCAAUGACAACAUUUGUUGUAUGUAAUGAAUGUGGAAAUCGGUGGAAGUUCUGUUGAGUUAUGAAGAAUUGGCAAAGUAUCUGGACCAUUAAGAAAAACUAAUUUUGUAAUUAGCUUUAAAAUUAAGCCAGGCAACUCAUUUACCUGCAAGUGAAAUUUGUAAACAACAUACAUCUCAUGAGUUGGUCUUUGUUGUUCACCUGACAGUCUUUCUUAAAUGCCUUCUGUGGUCUCAGAUCAGCUGGGAGACCAUAAAAUAAUUAUAUAAUGUGUUGNUUUGUUUUUCUUUUUUAUAAGUUGAUAUUGCAUUUUAUUAAAUAUUAACUUUUUAUAGCCUAGAACACAAAAAUUCUGUUGAUCUGUUAGUGCAUAAAGAUAAAUUGCUGGGCUGGUGAGGUGGCUCAGCGGUUAAGAGCACCAACUGCUCUUCCAGANGUCCUGAGUUCAAUUCC